rnacentral:rRNA from 1 species
AUUGAACGCUGGCGGCAGGCCUAACACAUGCAAGUCGAGCGGAUGAAGGGAGCUUGCUCCUGGAUUCAGCGGCGGACGGGUGAGUAAUGCCUAGGAAUCUGCCUGGUAGUGGGGGAUAACGUCCGGAAACGGGCGCUAAUACCGCAUACGUCCUGAGGGAGAAAGUGGGGGAUCUUCGGACCUCACGCUAUCAGAUGAGCCUAGGUCGGAUUAGCUAGUUGGUGGGGUAAAGGCCUACCAAGGCGACGAUCCGUAACUGGUCUGAGAGGAUGAUCAGUCACACUGGAACUGAGACACGGUCCAGACUCCUACGGGAGGCAGCAGUGGGGAAUAUUGGACAAAGGGCGAAAGCCUGAUCAAGCCAUGCCGCGUGUGUGAAGAAGGUCUUCGGAUUGUAAAGCACUUUAAGUUGGGAGGAAGGGCAGUAAGUUAAUACCUUGCUGUUUUGACGUUACAAACAGAAUAAGCACCGGCUAACUUCGUG